rnacentral:rRNA from 1 species
GAUUCGUCACACUAUCAUUAACUGAAUCCAUAGGUUAAUGAGGCGAACCGGGGGAACUGAAACAUCUAAGUACCCCGAGGAAAAGAAAUCAACCGAGAUUCCCCCAGUAGCGGCGAGCGAACGGGGAGGAGCCCAGAGCCUGAAUCAGCAUGUGUGUUAGUGGAAGCGUCUGGAAAGGCGCGCGAUACAGGGUGACAGCCCCGUACACAAAAGCGCAUGUGCUGUGAGCUCGAUGAGUAGGGCGGGACACGUGGUAUCCUGUCUGAAUAUGGGGGGACCAUCCUCCAAGGCUAAAUACUCCUGACUGACCGAUAGUGAACCAGUACCGUGAGGGAAAGGCGAAAAGAACCCCGGCGAGGGGAGUGAAAAAGAACCUGAAACCGUGUACGUACAAGCAGUGGGAGCCCCACCACUAAGCCAGUGGUGAACUCCA